CCUGGGAUCAGGGAGACAGCCUGACCCACUUGAAACACAGUAACCAGCCCUGCUUUCCCCACGGGCUGGUCCACCACUGGGACUGCUCUCAUGCCAUGCCUCAAGCUGAAAAUGCAGAAUUUCUGGUCAUUUUGGAGAAUUUGAUACUGAGAAUUUAAAUGGUGCUUCACAUUUUGUUUUCUUCCCCUUGUGCCCGGGUGUGUCACGGUUCAGUGUAAAGGGUCAGUCUGUGUUUCAUUAAAUAUUAAUAGGGAAAAUGAUUUGUGCUCGUUUAGAGGGUAACACUGCUGUGCUAAUGGAUAGAAAAUUGCCUGGAAGGCUGCUGGAAAAGUUGUAGUGGCGACUGGUCCUGAACCACUGAGCGUGGAGUUUCUGAACUGUCCUGCCAGGGGGAUGGGUGAUGUGAAGAGUUCCACUCGUGACUCCCGGAGCAUCCGCAGGUCUCCCGGAGAUGUUCCAGGAACCUCCUUUAGCCGCUGGUCCAGCGCCAGGGACUCUGCUAAUGGACUCCUCCAAGGAAAGUGACUCAGAAGAACACGUAGAAGCCAAGAAGCAGUUGAGAAGGCGUGUGGGGAAGGAAUCCUGGAUCGAAGGAGCCAAGGCACCGUGAUAACUGUGGCAACGCUGGGGCCAGCCGUGCCAAGCUUUAUUUAGCCGUGCUGCAGAUCUGCUGCUGUGGUACAUGUUAAGCAGAGCCAAAAUCCAGAGCUCAGGAGGAGUCUGUGAGUGUUGGAGCACUCUGUGAGAUGGUGCCUGCUGAUCUCCUUGGUGACAGGAGCUUGUGUCACUAAUUGGUCCCCGAGUCUGCAGCACAGGGAUGACGUGGGGAGGC
rnacentral:lncRNA from 1 species